ACUGCUUUCCAUUCAUGACUCAGCAAAGUGAUGCAAUUGGAAAGAAAUCUCUUUCCUCAUUCCUCCUUUGCCUAGGCAGGUUUUAACUCUCUUUAGCGUGCUGGAUCAGAGAAGGGAGAGACGGAGUAGGAAGACAGUGCUUCUGCAGGGAAAACAGCCUGAGUUUCAGAAAUGUUGCAUUAGUACAUGCAAAGUUAAAACAUUCCUACAUUUAUAUUCACGUGGUCAUGUGAGCAAAUACAGAAUGGUUAGAGUGAUACGCUUCAGAAAGUUAGGCAGUCUUGAAGUUUUCUGCCUACCUCCACAUUCCUCCUCCAACAGUACAUCACUCUGAAAACUUGCGAAAGGAACAAACUACAGGUCAUGAUCACCUGGUCACUGAAAACUCCAUGCUGAAGAGGUGAUGCUACAGCAACAAGGUAAUAACACUUCCCACUUUUCUCCUGCUGAUGAUAGCUCAUCUCAAUUGAUUAGUCUCUUCCAGCUGGUAUGCAAACAUCCACCUUUUCAUGUUCUCUGUAUGUAUAAAUCUCUUGUCUGUAUGUUCCAUUCUAUGCAUCUGAAGAAGUGAGCUGUAGCUCACGAAAGCUCAUGCUGAAAUAAAUUUGUUAGUCUCUAAGGUGCCACAAGUACUCCUGUUUUUUACUUCCCACAUAGCAGCAGCAGCAGGACAGACCGGUGGAAAGAACAGCAUUUUUGCACACUCCUGAAUGCAAAGAAAAUACUACGAAGGCAGCCGCUGGGAGAGAAGGCGAUCAAUGAAAUUAAGACCUUGUAUGCAAAUACAACACAGUAAGGACACGGCUCCAGAGAAAAUCCUUGCUUGCAGAUCACUGACCUGCACUGACCCUAGAGGAAAAAAGUGCUCUUCCCACACUACUCCUGGAUGACAGCCAGGAGUGCACUGGCAGCAACUACAGAAGCUGAGCGGGACUUGACAUGAGGUAAUGCACAUGUUACUGAACUGAUACUUAGCACAAGUCUUGAACCUAGAGCAAGACUGGUGCUUCAGGAAAGGAGGAGGGGGACGGAGACUGGUAACCAAGUGUACACUCAUUUGGUGGUUAUUUCUUUUAAUGAUGACCUCAUGCUUUUUUGGAACAAGAGAGUGGCUGUUGGGUGAUGGCUUUUACUUCUUGUCUGGGGAGAACAAAGCAG
rnacentral:lncRNA from 1 species